rnacentral:lncRNA from 1 species
GGGCCCUCCAAAUCAAAGAUGAGCGCGGGGCUUUUCAUCAGAUUUGGAGGACGUUCGGAUUUGAUAAUUCGCUCGUUCAGGGAGGAGCUGGAUCGUGCUCACAGAGAGCAGCUGAAGGAGCUGGAGGACGUGUUCAGAAGGAGACUGGAGGCCGCUGAUGUGGAGAGGUCAAAGGUAAGAGGUGUUUUUAAUAUGGAUGAGCCUAUUUUUUAGCGAGGGAAUCUACUGUUGCACUGACUGGAGCACAUUAAAUUAUUAUUCUUGCACAUUUGCACAUUUAUAUUAUGCUUCUGUUGUCAUCUUUUUCACCAUCUUCAUCUUUAUCUUAUUCUUAGUUUGUAUUGACAAAACAAAUACAUUUGAACACUCAACCAGCAAACUGG